AGUCUGCAACUCGACUACAUGAAGCUGGAAUCGCUAGUAAUCGCAAAUCAGAAUGUUGCGGUGAAUACGUUCCCGGGUCUUGUACACACCGCCCGUCACACCAUGGGAGUCGGAAAUGCCCGAAGUCAGUGACCUAACCGAAAGGAGGGAGCUGCCGAAGGUGGAGCCGGUAACUGGGGUGAAGUCGUAACAAGGUAAC
rnacentral:rRNA from 1 species